GAACCUGAGUAAAACAUCGUGUUCCCUGCCUCCUGUUACCAUCCGCCUUAGACGCACAGUUCGGGACCCCCUACCCGAGAUCCGCCGGUUUUGACACCGACAAUCGGAAUGACCAGCGGCGAGGCUAGGGCUGGCCGCCGUGGCCGGGGUGACCAGCGACCUAGGCUAAGCUAGGGCCAAGCUCCCUUGCAAAAAUCAAAGAGGAGCAGAGAAAGAUCGAUGAGGCUGCUGAAAUAAUGCAAGAAGUUGCUUUAAGUUUGCACACACACUAGAAGUAUGGAUGAACCUUUAAUAUUUUUCUCAACUAGCAAGUUGAUCCUCAGUUGAAACAUUUUGCCAAUGGGGAAGAUAGAGAAACUUGCAUUCGUUCUGGAGCAGGUAUUUUGCCAAUAGGCAAUAAUAAAACUUUGAGGGGUCAUAGAGAAGAUUGCAUUCAUAAAAGAAAUCUUUGUAUAUCAUGGCUGCAGGUUCGGAUGUUCCUGGAUCGUCAAGAUUAUGUGUGUGCACAAAAUUUAUCCAAGAAAAUUAGCCCAACGGUCUUCGAUGCAGAUACACCAAAGGAGAAAAAGAAACUAAAGGAAGGUGAUAAUAUGGUUUAGGAAGACCCAAAGCCGAGGUGAGACCCCUCCUCCUUUUCGUGCCUUUCCAUGUGGCUCUCCUUCAUGGUGCUGAUAUGGUGUGUCGCUGCUGGUGAGAGCAGGCAGGACAGGAAGGAAGCAGAGAGGCGAGUUGUGAUACGAACCACCAGCCGCCCCUCCAGCGACUAGGCCUUCUCCCUCACCCUCAGCCUCCACGUUGCCGCUGACGCCUUCGGGAGUAGGGGAGGCAUAGCGACGCUGCCGACAAGGCAGCGUGGCUACUUCCAGUCCCUGUUGAGCUGAUCAAGGCAGGGACAUCAGAUCAUUUAUCCUUUUGCUUCAUGGGCUAAUUGUCUAAAUUCAUUAUCAACGAUUCUUCAGGUAGUGAGGCACACAUACAGUUUAGUACUAUCGCGGAGCCAAUUGAUGCUAGGUGUGCUCAAAGAUGUUUCACUCCAUGAAUCCAUAGAGUACAAUGGUGGGAUCAUUUAGGCCUAAUUUGGUUGCCUUGGAUCCCGGGGGGAUCCCGGCCUUAUCCCUGGGGGAAGAAGCCACGGGCCGAGUUGACCCGGGGCAGCCCACGGCGUCAUUUGGUAGCACACCGUCGAGAGGGACCCCUGCCCUUUCCACGUCCCUUCCCCGGGAGCGAUUCCCUGAUCUCGUCAGGUCGGGCAGGAAAUCCUCGAAAAGCGACGACGCCGACUCGACCCUCCCGAGCUUGUGCCUCCGGCAGCCACCCGCGCCUCCAGCCAAGAGCUUCUCCCCCCGCCGGCGAUGUCACCCCCUCCCUCCUGCCAAGAUCCUCUGCCAGGUGAUGGCGACGGUCUAGAGGUCGGUUUCUACUUCCGGCAAGAUCGACUACCCCUCGCAGCUCAUAUCUCCUCAGACGAACAGCAAUGAGCUAGCGGUCACCUUCCUCGUCCUCCGAGCCAGGUUAGCCCGCUCCUCUUCCUCGUCCACCACUACCACCUAUUUGAUGCCUCGGUUAGCACUGAUGAUGUUGCUCCAGAUCCACGGACCUGAGCGUCUUUUCCGCAUUUUACAGCUAAUCAGAAUCUUGGAACUCUCCCACCAUUGUCAAAUUAACGGUGAGCACAAUCUCUUCCUUCCGCUUCUCUCCCCUAGAUCUGCACAGUGUUUUGAUUUGUCAAUUGGCUCUUGUGAUUGAUUGUGAGGUCUGAUGCUAUAUUUUGGAUCUUUCAAGGAACAUUUUUCUUGUUUGGACUCUUGUUACUACAGAGCAGAGCAUUGCCUAAUGUGUGGCAGUUUGUCUACUGAAGUUAGAUUAUUGGCUGCAUACAUUAUAAUUUAGGUGCAAUUCAGAAGAAUGUGGCAAAUGCAAUGGAUUUGCUGCAUUUAAUUACUGGUGAGUCUUGUGAACUUUGGUUUAGGCAAGUUAAUUGCUUUUGUGUAGACAGGCAAAUACUGAACGUUUUUCUCUGUUAGAUCCUUAUGGCAGUACAUACUACAAUUGUUUAUUUUUAUGCUUUUUUCGUAGUUAUAAAUUUUCUAUUUUUAGUUUUCGUAUCCUCUGCAAUUAAAUUUACCAUGGCGCAGGCAUCUUGAUCAACAAGAGCCUCAAGUAUGGAGUGGUAGACGUCAAGAGACGUGGGGACCGGAUUAUCCUGGUCAAGCUGGUAGUUGAGGACUUGGUUCUCAAUGUUAUCAGCGCGUAUGCCCCGCAAGUAGGCC